GUCCUGAAGUCAACUGUUAAUAUUAUUUACGUAAUUACAUUAUAAUAUUUUUGUAUUACUUGAUAAUAUUUUGUAUUAGUAACUACAAUGCUUUAAUUUGGAGGUAAAGUUGUUUAUAUUUAUUGUACUUUAUAAUCGGUAAACACAUGAUGUCACUUCCGCUAAAUUACUUCCUGUUGGUUGACUUCCGGUAUUUGUUCGAAAGCUAGAGAUACAUUUUGUGGUCUUCUGUAGUACUUUCUGUUGCCAUCCUACACAAAGCGGCGAAGAAGCAAUGCCUUUUUCACCAUCUUGUCUAUGAAGGAAUUGUCAAAAGUAAAUGGUCAAGCUUACAACGACGUUCUCUUCAUUGACUCCGGUUUGGCUUGGUGUUGAGUUGGCGUUUUUACACGUCUCACGAGAACACUAAAGUGAAAAAGGCACGUUCCGGCUGCCCUAAAGUAUCAACAUGGCAACUAGUCACAGUGGAAGCAGCAAAACGUCAGUAUCCACAGCAAGCGCAGCUCUUGUUAGAGCUAAAGCAGAAGCCGCGAAAGUACGAGCGUCGUACGCAAGCCAAGAAGCUAAGCUUAAACUGGAAGAAGCUAAGCUAAAACUAGAAAAGGCUCAUAAUCAAUUGGAAACAACGAGAAUAACCACAGAAUUAGAAGUGCUGACAUUACAACGAGAAGCAGACGCAGCUGAGGCGGAAGCUCAAGUAUUGGAGGAAGCUUCGGGAGCACAAUCCACUGGCGAUGACAGGAAAACUGAAUCAGAAAAGGCAAAAAUUGAACGCACAAGUGAAUAUGUUCAAUCACAGAUCGACCUUCAACAGCAGUUGUCAUCUCCAGCUGCCUUGUGUCCAGCAAUAGACAAGCAACCGUAUCCGUUAACACAAGCUACCAUCAACACCUGGCAUCUGGAUGAAAAUACUCCAUAUAUGCAACCCAGUCCUAAUAGAACAAACUUUAAGAGCGAUAAAGGAUCUCACUUAUCCACACCAAACUUAAAGAAACCAGUUAAAGCCACGACAAACUUCGAAGAAAAAAGACAAUCUGGCCCAAACAUACAUGCUCCGCCUUAUGUUCCCCGACAGGUUCCACAAGCCAGCAUACCGUCUUCAGUGGAACCAUUGGCCCACUAUUUGGCAACACGAGAUCUCAUCACCUCAGGACUGUACUACUUCGCUGAUAAACCAGAAGAUUAUCGCGCAUGGGAGUCGUCAUUCACUACAGCGGUCAGCGGUGCUCACCUCACAACAACCCAAGAACUAGACCUCAUGACAAAGUGGCUUGGUAAGGAGUCUGGAGAACAUGUGAGACGCAUCCGCUCAAUGUAUGUAAACCAUCCAGAACUGGCUCUACACAAAGCAUGGGAGAGACUACGUGACUGUUAUGCUGCCCCUGAAAUCAUUGAAAAAUCACUAUUUGAUCGGCUGGACAAUUUCCCCAAAAUUUCUAAUAAGGACAACGCUAGGCUACGCGAACUGGGAGAUUUGCUCAUGGAAAUUCAAGGUUUCAAAGAGGACGGCUAUGUCACCGGCUUGUCCUAUCUGGAUACGUCACGUGGAAUUAGGCCGAUUGUGGACAAGCUUCCUUAUAGCCUUCAGGAAAAAUGGACAUCUUCUGGGUUUUUGUACAAAGAACAUAAUAACGGUUGCUUCCCUCCCUUCCACUACUUCUGUGUUUUUGUGUGCUCCGAGGCAAAGAAACGAAAUGACCCCAGUUUCACCUACCAGUACAAUACAACUGCUAACCUUGACAAACACAUUGCAAAAGGUUUUAACUCCAACAGACCCAUCACAGUGCACAAAACAGACAUUUUAACAACCAAUAGUGACCCCAAUGAAUGUUGUCCUCUACACAACAAACCACAUCCCCUUAAGAGAUGCAGGACAUUCCGAAACAAAUCCCUGGAUGAUAGAAAGGCCUUUUUGAAGGAAAAAGGGAUAUGUUUUAAAUGUUGUUCCUCAGUUUCACAUCUCGCCAAACAAUGCCAGUCUUCUGUAAAGUGUUAUGAAUGUGGAAGCACUCAUCAUGAGGCAGCAAUGCAUCCUGGUCAAUCCUCUCAAAUGGCCAAGGCUCCUCCAUCCCUUAAAGAGGAUGGCGGGGAGGGAGAAGAACAGUAUAACAGAGAAGAACAGUAUAACAUGCCUGAUGUUAGCACGAGCUGUACAGAUGUUUGCGGUCAAGGUCAGUGGGGGCGCUCAUGCUCAAAAAUAUGCCUUACUAAAAUGUACCAUAAAGACUUCAAGGACAAGGCCAUCAAAGCCUACGUAAUUUUGGAUGACCAAAGUAAUCGAUCAUUGGCAAGACCAGAAUUGUUUAAAAUGUUCAAUGUGGACAGCAAACCAAUCACCUAUCAUCUCAGAACUUGUUCUGGCCUCGUAGAGACACAUGGCAGGGCGGCUGAGGGUUUCCAGAUUGAGUCCCUAGAUGGUAAAGUUCUCAUCUCACUUCCAACACUCCUCGAGUGUCAAGAGAUUCCAAAUAAUCGGAAUGAGAUCCCAACACCAACUGCAGUUUUGCAUCAACCCCAUCUCCAUCACAUUGCCAAACACAUCCCAGAAUUCGACCCAGAUGCACAGAUACUUCUGCUCCUUGGAAGAGAUGUAAUCAGGGCACACAAGGUCAGACAGCAAGUAAAUGGACCACACGACGCUCCUUUUGCACAACGUCUGGAUUUAGGCUGGGUGGUGAUGGGAGAAGUGUGUUUAGGCAAUACACACAAACCAACAAUUAAUUCAAUGAAAACAAACGUAUGGGAAAAUGGACGUCAUUCCAUCCUUCUACCCUGCACCAGCGUCAUGUGUGUUAAGAAGCAACAAACCUUCAACCAGUCCCGCAAAUCACAAGAAAGGAUGCUGGGAUCGACAGUUUUCAACCAAACUGAACACGACAACAAACCUGCUCCAUCAAUGGAUGACCUCCUCUUUCUAAAGAUUAUGGACAUUCAAACCUACAGAGAUGGAUCCAACAAUUGGGUCGCUCCACUCCCAUUUAAGGAACCACGUCAACGUUUGCCUAACAAUAAGGACCAGGCAAUCAAGCGGUUCAUGUCACUUCAAGAAACCCUCCAAAAGGAAACCGGAAAUGCUGUCACGUUCAUAGAAAAGCUCAUUGGACCAGAUAAUGACUCUGAAAUCCGACCACAAGUGCAGACCUGCGCUACUUACCUGGAACGUCAGAUACUCAACCCAGAUCGCUUCCAACGAUUUUCCACUUUCACUUCCUUGGUGAGGGGUGUAGCAUUCCUCAUCCACGUCGCAAGAACAUGCAAACGGUCUAAUCAAAAAGAUGGAUGCAAAUUCUGGCACAAGUGUCACCAACCACGCACUGCAGAUGAAAUUGCCCAAGCUAAAUAUAUUAUUCUGAGGGCAGCACAAAAGGCAGCCUUCUCAGGAGAGCUUUUAGCUUUACAAGAAAACAAGCCAGUUUCAAGAAACAGCCCUUUGUUGAAACUCAACCCAACAUUGGAGGAUGGACUCAUUUGUGUGGGAGGUAGACUAAAGUGCUCUGAACUCACACUUUUAGAAAAGAAUCCUGUAAUUCUCCCCAAGAAAAGCCACAUCUCUGUGUUGCUCACACACCACCACCAUGUGCAGGUGAAACAUCAAGGCCGUCAUUUUACUGAAGGAGCCAUCAGAGCAGCAGGAUUGUGGAUUCUAGGUGGACGGUCUUUAAUCAACUCAAUUCUUCACAAAUGCACAAUCUGUCGUAGACUUCGAGGGAAGGUUCAAGAACAACAAAUGGCUAAUUUGCCUCCGGAACGUCUUAAAUCCUGCCCUCCUUUUACGUAUGUGGGAGUCGAUGUCUUUGGACCCUGGUCUGUCUUAACCAGACGUACCAGAGGAGGACAAGCAGAGAGCAAGCGGUGGGCCAUGAUGUUCACUUGUCUUAGUUCGAGAGCUGUUCAUAUCGAGUUAAUCGAGUCUAUGGACACUUCAAGUUGUAUCAACGCCCUCAGCCGUUUUUUCGCACUUCGAGGUCCAGCAAAUCAACUUCAUUCUGAUUGUGGCACUAAUUUUACGGGAGCAUGCAAAGAGCUUGGAAUGAACAAGGCGGUGCAGAACUUCCUCAGUGAAAAGCAGUGCAUUUGGAAAUUCAACCCACCACACGCUUCCCACAUGGGAGGCUCUUGGGAGUGAAUGAUCGGGAUUGCAAGAAGAAUCCUGGAUUCAAUGUUACUGCAGCAUGGGACUCGUAUAACCCAUGAAGUUCUUUGCACUCUGAUGGCGGAAGUCACUGCAAUUAUAAAUGCACGACCACUUCUGCCUGUAUCCAUAGAUCCACAACAACCCUUCAUUCUUUCACCAGCAAUGCUCCUAACACAGAAGGCAGGAGCUCCACCUCCACCUGGAGAAUUCACAGAGAGGGACCUUUACACCAAACAAUGGAAGCAAGUGCAAGCAUUUGCAAACCAGUUUUGGAGCCGAUGGAGAAGGGAGUACCUUCCUUCUUUGCAACAGAGACAGAAAUGGAAUAUGUCAAGGCGAAACCUUCAAGUAGGAGAUCUAGUUCUCCUCAAGGACAAGCAAGCUGCACGUAACUACUGGCCUAUGGCCAUGGUCACCGCCACGUUCCCCGGGAUCGACAAUUUGGUCAGGAAGGUCGAAGUGAAGACUACAGACCAAGGAACCCCAAAAACAUUUUUGAGACCAGUAACAGAAGUUGUUUUACUCCUGCCCAAAGACUAGAGUUAUUUGGUGACCUUAGUGGCCUCACAUAGGCCAGGCGGGGAGUGUGUUGUCCUGAAGUCAACUGUUAAUAUUAUUUACGUAAUUACAUUAUAAUAUUUUUGUAUUACUUGAUAAUAUUUUGUAUUAGUAACUACAAUGCUUUAAUUUGGAGGUAAAGUUGUUUAUAUUUAUUGUACUUUAUAAUCGGUAAACACAUGAUGUCACUUCCGCUAAAUUACUUCCUGUUGGUUGACUUCCGGUAUUUGUUCGAAAGCUAGAGAUACAUUUUGUGGUCUUCUGUAGUACUUUCUGUUGCCAUCCUACACAAAGCGGCGAAGAAGCAAUGCCUUUUUCACCAUCUUGUCUAUGAAGGAAUUGUCAAAAGUAAAUGGUCAAGCUUACAACGACGUUCUCUUCAUUGACUCCGGUUUGGCUUGGUGUUGAGUUGGCGUUUUUACACGUCUCACGAGAACACUAAAGAUUAAGUAAAGAAGUUAAACAUUGUACUGAUAUGAUCCAGUUUAAGAGGCUGUUCAAAUUAAUAGUGCUUACAAAGUACAAAGAAGAAGAAUUAUGAGAAACACUUUCAACCUUAUUGAAAAAAAUAUAUUCUUCAUCUUAGUAUGUUGGUAAUGACUGAAUUAAAUAUUAAUUACAUGUUACAGAACAGUUGUAUUACUCAUUCACGGAUGUCAUUUUACUAUUUUGCUGUAAAAAGAGUCAGUAAAUGAAUGUAUAUAUUUGUGGGCGCUCUGACGUGGGAAAGGGGUAGGAUUAAAUAAGCUUUGCUUCUUCCCACUCCUUUUCGAACUUGAUGUGAUGUGAGGUGAUAUCAAAUUGUCCGUUUUGUAUCGUAAAUGUGUUCAUGUUCGAAAUAAACUAAGAAAGAAAGAAAGAAAGAAUGAAAGAAAGAAAGAAAGAGUCCAUGAUUCUCGCCUGGAAAAGUGUUAAAUGCCAUCUCUGGGUUUGGGUGGAGUUCUUGCCUGAAGUAUAGGAGUUCAAGUACCUCUUCUUGUCCACAAGUGAGGGGAGAAUGGAUCGUGAAAUUUACAAGCGGAUUGGUGCGGCGUCUGCAGAGCUGGGACCUUGAUGCGGACUCGUGAGCCAUUGUGUUGAAGAAGGAGCUGAGUCGGAAGGAAAAGCUCUCAAUUUACCGGUCAAUCUACUUUCCCAUUCUCACCUAUAGUUAUGAGCUUUGGGUUAUGACCGUAAGGACAUGAUCACGGGUACAAGCGGCCGAAAUGAGUUUCCUCUGUCGGGUGGCGGGGCUCUCCCUUACAGAUUGGGUAAGAAGCUCUGUCAUUCGGGAGGAGCUCAAAGUAAAGCCGCUGCUCCUCCACAUCGAGAGGAGCCAGAUGAGGUGGUUCGGGCAUUUGGUCAAGAUGCCCUUCGGACGCCUCCCUGUGGAAGUGUUUAGGGCACGUCUGACCAAUAGGAGGACACGGGGAAGACCCAGGACACGUCGGGGGGACUAUGUCUCCCGACUGGCCGAGGAACACAUCGGGAUUUCCCAGGAGGAGCUGGACGAAAUGGCUGGGGAGAAGAAAGUCAGGGCUUCUGUGCUUAGGCUGCUGCCCCCGCUACCUGACCUCGGAUAGGCGGCAGAAGAUGGAUAGUUUUUGAAGUAUCUCUGUCAUUUGUAUUCAUUGGUUUCUAUAAAAACUAGGGCAAAAAAAUCUGUAAAAAUUGUAAACCAAAUUUUAUGUGAAAAAAUCUGAGAUUUUAUUAGGCCUUAUCAACCAGGCUUAGAUGACAGUAGUGUAUAAAUUACGGUGCGUUGCUCGUCUUUGCCUUGAAACUGAAUGUGCCAGUCUUGUCUUGUUGCGCCCUAUAAAGUAUGUAAGUAUUGUAUUAAUUACACACUUGCAGUUUGAUUGUAACGUGCAUUUUGUUACCAAACUUGGAGGCGUCGAACUCACCAUGUAAAAUAGCUAAUGCUCGUCAGUAGCAUGUAUAUGGCAAAGCCAAUGUAAAUUAGCAUCAAGCUAGUGCAUUUUUGAAACUAUCGAGUAUUUUCUAUCAGGCACACUUGCUUUGUUGGAAUUAAAAAUUGUAAUAUUACCUAAAAGAAGUUUGGCUUAGUCCGUUCUGAGUGCUUAAGUCAUUGUUUUCUCUUUUUUUGAGCCGGUGUUUGGACUGCAAACAAAUGUGACGUCACAGGCAAGAGAGUUAUCAAAAUAUGGCACCGUUUGAUCAAUACCCGUAAUUCAAUUGGUGCCAAAUUUAUUUUUGUUGGCCAAACUGUUGCACUGAACCCCACACAGUAAUGUUGGAGAACAAAGCGUGUUUAUUCGACUUUAUCUUUGUUGAUCAAACUGUUGUUUUUUUUUAAAUUGAUAAUAAAAAGAGAAGAAUUUGAUUUUUACAUUA